AUUGAACGCUGGCGGCAGGCCUAACACAUGCAAGUCGAGCGGAUGAAGGGAGCUUGCUCCUGGAUUCAGCGGCGGACGGGUGAGUAAUGCCUAGGAAUCUGCCUGGUAGUGGGGGAUAACGUCCGGAAACGGGCGCUAAUACCGCAUACGUCCUGAGGGAGAAAGUGGGGGAUCUUCGGACCUCACGCUAUCAGAUGAGCCUAGGUCGGAUUGGCUAGUUGGUGGGGUAAAGGCCUACCAAGGCGACGAUCCGUAACUGGUCUGAGAGGAUGAUCAGUCACACUGGAACUGAGACACGGUCCAGACUCCUACGGGAGGCAGCAGUGGGGAAUAUUGGACAGUGGGCGAAAGCCUGAUCCAGCCAUGCCGCGUGUGUGAAGAAGGUCUUCGGAUUGUAAAGCACUUUAAGUUGGGAGGAAGGGCAGUAAGUUAAUACCUUGCUGUUUUGACGUUACCAACAGAAUAAGCACCGGCUAACUUCGUG
rnacentral:rRNA from 1 species